AUUAUAUCUAAAAAAACUUGAAGAGCAAGAACCAAAAAAUGGCGGACGAAGGAAGUGGAAGUGGAACAGCGAAUUGCAUAGAUAUUCUGAUUGCUAUCCUCUUGCCUCCUCUUGGCGUCUUCCUUAAAUUUGGCUGCCAUGUGGAGUUUUGGAUAUGUUUGGUGUUAACAUUCUUAGGAUACAUUCCGGGGAUCAUAUAUGCCGUCUAUGCCAUCACCAAGAAGUAGUGUCUCUCCCUUCAUUCUAUCACAUCGAAGAUCGUGAGUUAUCAUAAAACCUUCUUGAAUCUUGUCCUAUAUAUGGCUACCACUUUUAUAUUUCAUGUACAAGUACACCUACGCAUAUUUUGUAUGUGCGUAUGAUAAAUCACAGCUCUACUAUUCUACUGCAUUAAGACGAUUUGGUUUUAAGGAGCUUUUUUUCUGGAUUGUGUAAGUUUGUAUAUGAUGAAUAAACAGUAGUGUUACUUUGA